rnacentral:rRNA from 1 species
AACGAACGCUGGCGGCAGGCUUAACACAUGCAAGUCGAGCGCCCCGCAAGGGGAGCGGCAGACGGGUGAGUAACACGUGGGAACCUACCUGAAGGUACGGAACAACUCCGGGAAACUGGAGCUAAUACCGUAUGUGCCCGAAAGGGGAAAGAUUCAUCGCCUUCAGAUGGGCCCGCGUCAGAUUAGCUAGUUGGUGAGGUAACGGCUCACCAAGGCGACGAUCUGUAGCUGGUCUGAGAGGAUGAUCAGCCACACUGGGACUGAGACACGGCCCAGACUCCUACGGGAGGCAGCAGUGGGGAAUAUUGGACAAUGGGCGCAAGCCUGAUCCAGCCAUGCCGCGUGAGUGAUGACGGCCUUAGGGUUGUAAAGCUCUUUCGACGGGGACGAUAAUGACGGUACCCGUAGAAGAAGCCCCGGCUAACUUCGUGCCAGCAGCCGCAGUAAUAC